AUUGAACGCUGGCGGCAGGCCUAACACAUGCAAGUCGAGCGGAGCUGCGGACGGGUAAGGAAUGCCUAGGAAUCUGCCUGGGAGUGGGGGAUGACGUCCGGAAACGGGCGCUCAUACCGCAUACUAUCACAUCAGACGAGGUCGGAUUGGCUAGUUCGUGGGGUAAGGGCCUACCCAGGCGACGACCCGUAACAGGUCUGAGAGGAUGAUCAGUCACACUGGAACUGAGACACGGUCCAGACUCCGACGGGAGGCAGCAGUGGGGAAUAUUGGACAAUGGGCGAAAGCCUGAUGCAGCCAUGCCGCGUGUGUGAAGAAGGUCUUCGGAUUGUAAAGCACUUUAAGUUGGGAGGCGUUACCAACAGAAUAAGCACCGGCUAACUUCGUGCCAGCAGCCGCGGUAAUAC
rnacentral:rRNA from 1 species